rnacentral:misc_RNA from 1 species
UUUCCGUAGGUGAACCUGCGGAAGGAUCAUUAUAAUAUAAGCGAGGGGGGAGAGCUGUUGCUGAACCGACACGUGGUGCACUCGAGAGUGUACUCAUACGCAUCCAUAGAACCCCUAUAACAACCACUGCCUGGGCCCCCCUAUCGCUUGUUAGCGGAGCGGCUUACGUUUUCACACGACCUAACUAUGCAGUGUAGAAUGUAUUUUGUGUUUUUUCUUUCACUCAAUCAAUACAACUUUCAACAACGGAUCUCUUGGCUCUC